rnacentral:rRNA from 1 species
AUGAACGCUAGCGGCAGGCUUAAUACAUGCAAGUCGUGGGGCAGCAUGAGUAGCAAUACUUGAUGGCGACCGGCAAACGGGUGAGGAACACGUACACAACCUUCCUUCAAGCGGGGAAUAGCCCAGAGAAAUUUGGAUUAAUACCCCAUAAUAUAUUUGAUAAGGCAUCUUAUUAAUAUUAAAGCUUCGGCACUUGAUGAUGGGUGUGCGGCUGAUUAGAUAGUUGGCGGGUAACGGCCCACCAAGUCUACGAUCAGUAGCUGAUGUGAGAGCAUGAUCAGCCACACGGGCACUGAGACACGGGCCCGACUCCUACGGGAGGCAGCAGUAAGGAAUAUUGGACAAUGGACGAAAGUCUGAUCCAGCCAUGCCGCGUGAAGGAUUAAGGUCCUCUGGAUUGUAAACUUCUUUUAUAUGGGACGAAAAAAGGGCAUUCUUGUUCACUUGACGGUACCAUAUGAAUAAGCACCGGCUAACUCCGUG